rnacentral:tRNA from 1 species
CUCCAGUUAGCCUAGUGAUAAGGCUUUGGAUUGUCAAUCCGGAAACGGCGGGUUCGAUUCCCGAUUUGGUUG